ACGCUCGACACCUACGGGAGGUAGCAGUGGGGAAUAUUGCACAAUGGGGGAAACCCUGAUGCAGCGACGCCGCGUGGAGGAAGAAGGUCUUCGGAUUGUAAACUCCUGUUGUUGGGGAAAAAGAGGAUGGUACCCAACAAGGAAGUGACGGCUAACUACGUGCCAGCAGCCUCGGUAAUCUGAGCGGGCUGGCAAGGC
rnacentral:rRNA from 1 species